UACGUAGGGUGCAAGCGUUAAUCGGAAUUACUGGGCGUAAAGCGUGCGCAGGCGGUUUUGUAAGUCUGUCGUGAAAUCCCCGGGCUCAACCUGGGAAUUGCGAUGGAGACUGCAAGGCUAGAAUCUGGCAGAGGGGGGUAGAAUUCCACGUGUAGCAGUGAAAUGCGUAGAGAUGUGGAGGAACACCGAUGGCGAAGGCAGCCCCCUGGGUCAAGAUUGACGCUCAUGCACGAAAGGCGUGGGGAGCAAACAGG
rnacentral:rRNA from 1 species